AUUAUUAACCAAUGUUUUUAAAUCAUGAAAACAUAAAAUAAAAUGAGUGAAUAAAUGACAUGCUACAGCCAAAACAAUUCAAAACGGGAAAGAAAAUAUCUUACCAAAAAUUGAGCUUAAUCCCGAAUCAAAAUCAAUUUAAGUCAACUUUCUGAAUCAGGCCUAGAUUGUUUCUUGAAUGGAUUCCAACUCAAGGCUUUGAUUUCGAUUAGCGAAUGGCUCGGGUUUAAGGUCUUGGGUGAGCCUGUCUUGAAGCUGUUUUUGCUAACUGUAUUUUUCUCUCUAUCAUCACAAACAUAGGAUAGGCAGCUACCCCUCUUCGAAUAAAUGCAGAGAUGUCUGGUGCUAACGUCAAUUCUGGAGAUGACACACGAACAGUCUCCACAUCCUUCUGACCAAAGGGUGGCAGCAACUGACUGUUUUCAGAAAACAUUUAGAAAUGCUUCAGCAAGUUUAUCAUCCACUUCAGAAACCAUUUCAAUCAGUUCCCAUCUUUUUUCUGCAACUGUGGCUUCCAUUUCUGUUGGUACUUUUUCAGCAUCAACUUUUUCUCCGCUGGUUGAGAACUUUCCAUGGAUCAGCUCCCAUUCGAUCGAGUUUGUUAAUAAAGAACCCAAAUGGCACCGUCAAGAAUAUGCAGCGCCCUCUCCACUUCAAUCGUAAAAUCAACAUGACCAGGCGUAUCAAUUAUAUUAAUCUGAUAAUCUUUCCAGGUGCAACACGGGACAGCAGAUUGGAUAGUAAUUCCUUUCUCUCUUUCUGAAUCCAUGGAGUCCAUCACUGCUCUGACGCCGUCUUUGCCACGAACUUCAUGGAUGUCAUGGAUCCGACCCGUAUAAUAGAGAAUCCACUCCGUUAGCGUGGUCUUGCCCGAGUCGAUGUGAGCGGAGAUUCCGAUGUUUCAAAGUCGUUCCAUUGACUUGCUUCGCUUUGAAGGAGAAACUGCACUGUUUAGCAUUGCUUUUGUUUCCUGCUCAGCAUAAACCACCACGCCUAAUAUCCAAUCCAUGUUCUUCAGCUGAUAACCACGUAAAACAAUGUUUGAUUGGCUGAAGGGGAAUUUUUAUCCAUUAAACUCCAUGUUGGCUGUGAACUCAUAAAUAUUCCUAUUAGGCUGCUCACAUCCGAUCAGCCUCGAUGUAUUACAACCUUCAAAUAACAAAGAAGCUGUUUCCUUCUUAUUUUUUUCCUUCUUAAACUAUGAACACUCUCGUUCCAGAUCUGCUAGCUGCUUUGAAAUUUGUCCUAACUCCUUCUUUAAGCACUCAACCUCGAGAUUCUUAGCGUUUUCAAAACCGUGAACUAGCCACACAGGAGUCAAAGGAGUAGUACAUUUAUUUGGACUCUGAUCUGGUCGUUGUUGAUGAUAUCACUAAGUUCUGGAGUACUAACCUGGGUUCAAGAACAAUCGGGGCACCAGAACAUUGCCACACAAACUCCACAAAAUAUUUCACGGGUGGGUUCUGAAAGGGCGAACGGUUUUCAGGGACUUUCAAAGGGAGGAAGCCUAACACGGGGAUUAAUGAUGUGACGAUAUUGGUGGUGGUGGCCGUGGCAAAGGUGGUAAACAGGAGGAAAAAAGAGGGCUGUUUCGGUUAGCAGGAGAACCAAAAAAAAGUUUCUUUAACUUGUAUAAGUUCGUCCAGGAAACUCACGUCCCGUUCUUCCUCAUUUUUUUUCGCUCAUCCCUUUUUCUUAGUUUCUGUUUGACCUUUUUUUUUGCGACCUCCCCUCUCCUAUUCGGAUUCUCCUUCUAUCUUUUUCUCCUUUUUUUUUUUCGUCUCCUAUUCGGACUCUUCUUCUAUCUUUCCUCCCCCUAUCCGGA